rnacentral:rRNA from 1 species
UACGUAGGUGGCAAGCGUUGUCCGGAAUUAUUGGGCGUAAAGCGCGCGCAGGCGGUUCGUUAAGUCAGAUGUGAAAGCCCCGGGCUCAACCUGGGAACUGCAUUUGAAACUGGCGGGCUUGAGUGUGGCAGAGGGGGGUGGAAUUCCGCGUGUAGCAGUGAAAUGCGUAGAGAUGCGGAGGAACACCGAUGGCGAAGGCAGCCCCCUGGGCCAACACUGACGCUCAGGCACGAAAGCGUGGGGAGCAAACAGG